CAGCGCCAGUCACAUGGCUUCCUUCUCUGCUGGGAGCUGACUGUGGCCCCACCCGCCGCACACUCUUGCCCCUUUCCGCCCAUCUGGCCUCCUCCUGCAGCCCUUUGCCCCUGUUGCUCCAUUUGACCAAGGCCUCCAUGCCUGUCACCAACCGGAAGAGAAAGCCUUCAGAAUGUCUCUGGGGCCUCCCAUUGCCUCAGCCUAUGGAUGGGUCUCAUCAUACUCUAAUUUCAUUGGUCAAAAUUGGUCACAAGAUCCUGCUCAAGGACAGGGGACUUGGAAACAGCCUGCUAGGUGCCUGGAGAAGAGGACAGAAGAACCAGAUGGGAGGAACCAUGCUGCUGGGGACUGGCUUGACAUGGUGCAGAGCAGGCAGCGAUUGAUAUGAAUAAAUUAACAAAAAUAAAUUGAAUCUAGAGUCUGUCUUUAGCCUAAAUGACUUGUGGUGAGCGCCGUGGCUGGUGUGAAGAAGAAAUUAAUCUCCAGGUCAAAGCCUAGGACCGAAACCAGCAAACAGUCUGGGAAAUCCUGGUGCCUCAAAGCAAGACUCCCAAAUUUCUUCUAGCUCAGUAUUCUCAGCAGAUAAUCAGGUUAUGAGUUAACUACGCUCUGUUCCUAUGUGUGUUUCCAGAAGGGCUUUGUUCUUCAAAUCCUUGAGCCUUUCUCGCACCAGCAGCUCCUCCCCAUCACCUCCUGCAGCCCACCAGCACACCCCCAAUCAAGCUGUUCACCUAAUAAAGGCCAAGGACUCUGUGCCUUGGGGUCUUAGUCCUUAUUAGUUUCUUGUAAAUAAAAAAAUAUAUAUACAUA